rnacentral:rRNA from 1 species
UACGUAGGGGGCAAGCGUUGUCCGGAUUUAUUGGGCGUAAAGAGCGUGUAGGCGGCCUGACAGGUCUGCUGUGAAAACUCGAGGCUCAACCUCGAGACGUCGAUGGAAACCAUCUGGCUAGAGUCCGGAAGAGGAGAGUGGAAUUCCUGGUGUAGCGGUGAAAUGCGCAGAUAUCAGGAAGAACACCCGUGGCGAAGGCGGCUCUCUGGGACGGUACUGACGCUGAGACGCGAAAGCGUGGGGAGCGAACAGG